AAAAACACCCCACAGAGAAACCUCAUCAGGGCCUGUCAGGGGUCAACUGUACAGACGCAAGUCUCAAUCUAGAGGACUGCAUCCAGAACAAUGUGGUGUCUGCACCUCGGGAUGAGAGCCCUCAUAUCAGCUACGUGAUUGGU